AGUGAACGCUGGCGGUAGGCCUAACACAUGCAAGUCGAACGGCAGCACAGGAGAGCUUGCUCUCUGGGUGGCGAGUGGCGGACGGGUGAGGAAUACAUCGGAAUCUACUCUGUCGUGGGGGAUAACGUAGGGAAACUUACGCUAAUACCGCGUACGACCUACGGGUGAAAGCAGGGGAUCUUCGGACCUUGCGCGAUUGUAUGAGCCGAUGUCGGAUGAGCUAGUUGGCGGGGUAAAGGCCCACCAAGGCGACGAUCCGUAGCUGGUCUGAGAGGAGGAUCAGCCACACUGGAACUGAGACACGGUCCAGACUCCUACGGGAGGCAGCAGUGGGGAAUAUUAGACAAUGGGCGCAAGCCUGAUCCAGCCGUACCGCGUGGGUGAAGAAGGCCUUCGGGUUGUAAAGCCCUUUUGUUGGGAAAGAAAUCCAGCUGGCUAAUACCCGGUUGGGAUGACGGUACCCAAAGAAUAAGCACCGGCUAACUUCGUGCCAGCAGCCGCCGUAA
rnacentral:rRNA from 1 species